AAUAUAAGCUCCUGUGCUGUCUGACUGAAAGCCUACUCCACGAACUUAACUGGAAAUUGUAAGGCCUUCUGUUCCCUGAGUCCUCCCUCCACAAGAUUACAAGAAACUUGGGCCCCUGCCCACCCUGCCCUAACCUGCUGAAUAUAAGCUCCUGUGCUGUCUGACUGAAAGCCUACUCCACGAACUUAACUGGAAAUUGUAAGGCCUUCUGUUCCCUGAGUCCUCCCUCCACAAGAUUACAAGAAACUUGGGCCCCUGCCCACCCUGCCCUAACCUGCUGAAUAUAAGCUCCUGUGCUGUCUGACUGAAAGCCUACUCCACGAACUUAACUGGAAAUUGUAAGGCCUUCUGUUCCCUGAGUCCUCCCUCCACAAGAUUACAAGAAAGUAUGUGUACUGUUGUAGCUCUGCACUUUAAUAGUUGGUACUACUAGGUCGCAGUACGCUUCCCUGCCAGACUAGCCAGCAGCCACUACCUCCUACUGCACUCUCUAUUUGUUCCCCUUUCCUCCAGUACCUCCCCUUCUUCAGUCCUCUACCACCUUUCCUCUGCUCUCCCCCUCUCUGCUGCCCUGAACUCUCAGCCUUCCCUUCCUUUUCUCAGCCCUCCUCUACUCCCUGUCUGAAGUCUUUUCCUCUCCCUCUGUCCUUCUCCUUAGCAUUUUUCACUCUAUCCCAAUUUCUCUGCUCAUCUCAGUACCCUCCCUCCGCUCCUUCUCCUACAUUUCUUACCUUCACAACUCUGAUAAACCUGUUAAACUUACCUUCUAAAUACUCUCUUGUAACUGAUUGUCUUCUGCUUUUCUCACCUCCUCUGGCUCCUCCCGCCAAUUCCCGGCUUGUAUCUACUCUCUCUAUCCAUUUUUCUCCUUCCCCACUGUCCCCUCUCUUCCCCUUUCCCCACCCACUUCCUCCCUUACUCUUUAUAACUCCCGCUAACUAACAGCCGCCAUCUUUAUUACCCUGCUCUUCCCCUCAGCUGCUGUGCUUCCCUGGCUCCAGCGUCAGCUCCUAGGUAGUAUGUCUUUGGUAUUUUUUUUGCUUAAA